UACGUAGGGGGCAAGCGUUGUCCGGAAUCAUUGGGCGUAAAGAGCGUGUAGGCGGCUCGGUAAGUCCGCUGUGAAAGUCCAGGGCUCAACCCUGGAAUGCCGGUGGAAACUGUCGAGCUAGAGUCCGGAAGAGGUGAGUGGAAUUCCUGGUGUAGCGGUGAAAUGCGCAGAUAUCAGGAGGAAUACCGAUGGCGAAGGCAGGUCUCUGGGCUGACACUGACGCUCAUGCACGAAAGCGUGGGGAGCAAACAGG
rnacentral:rRNA from 1 species